rnacentral:lncRNA from 1 species
GGAAAGAGAAAAGACUCUUCAUUGAUGCUAUAAAUCAAAACAGACUUGCAACAAUAGUAAAUAUAAAUUACACUUGGAUAAAACAAACUAAUACAAUGGAAGAGAAAAUUCAAGGUAACGAAAAUUUUUACAUUCAUCACUAAAUUUAUUGGUGGAGGGACUACAAAGGAAUAAACAAGAAACGCAUGCACUAUGAAACUCUAGCGCAAACACAAACACCAGACACUGAUACAUAGACAUUGGUAAUAAUUUAAGAAAAUGAAAGUAACUAAUUUAACUACAUGUGUCAGUGUCGGACACACCAUCUAUCUGAAAUGUCAAUGCUACAGUGGACUUGCUUAUAUAACAUCAUGAAAAAAAUCCAAAUCUACUCUUCACCAAGGAAGAAAACAGUUGGUUUCUUAGGGUCCAUGAUCUCAACAGUCCCUUCUAUCAUCUUAGCCACCUUCCCCAUUGUUGGCCUUGACUCAGGCCUAUCC